rnacentral:lncRNA from 13 species
AUGCAAAGGAGAAUGGUGGGAGGAGCAAAGGAGAAUGGCGGGAGGAGCAAAGGAGAAUGGCGGGAGGAGCAAAGGAGAAUGGCGGGAGGAGCAAAGGAGAAUGGCGGGAGGAGCAAAGGAGAAGAGUGGAUCCACCUCUUUCUUUCCCGUUCUCUCGCCCUCUCCCUCUCUCCCUCUCUCCCUCUCCCUCUCCCUCUCUCCCUCUCGCUCUCUCGCCUCUUUCUCCUGCAUCUCACGACAAAAGAGCUUCUUCACAAAGUGGCCGCUGAUCCGGAGGUCAAGAACAGCACUCCCAAAAAGCCCUCUGCCGAGAGAGUGGAGCAGUCGCUGAAGAAGAUAGAACAGUUGGAGAGGAGGACGGUGUCCAUGGAGCAGGAGACAGAGAGGCUGAGGGAGGACAACCAGCACCUCCAGGAGGCCAACACAGCUCUAACCCAGGACAAGGAGCACCUCCAGGGCUCCCUGGCCCGCCUCCGCAACCAGGGGGCUGCUCGCGACGAGGCGGCCCAUGCCCAGGCACUCGCCCAGGGGGAGAGACACCGCACCGAGGCCCUGGCCCUGGAGACCCAGCUGGAGGGGGCCAGGAAGGAAGCCGGACGCACCCGGCAGCAGCUGCUCCGGCUCAGGCAGGAGCUGGGCAUCCUGAGGGCGGCCCGGGACUUCAACAGGAGGCAGAGAGGACCCAAGGCUAACAUGCUAACAGGGCUGGCCGCAACAGCCACAGCAGGAGGAGGAAUAAGUGGAGGGGCAUUAGCAAACAACAAGGUCAAAUUCAAAACAGGCAUGCGGCCCAGAGGCCCGGCGCGGCUGCACCGCCACCGAGCGGUUGGCCCCAAUCAAGCCAUCGGAGGAGGAGGCCGCAGCCCUGCUAGGGACGACUGGGAGGACAUAAGCGCGGACAGUGGAGAGGAGUACUCUGACAGCCUGGACAGUCACCCAAUCAAGUCACACAGGUACGCAGCCGCCUCAGAACAGCCAGCGGAAGAAUUCUCCAGAACACAGCCCGAUGUUCCGAACCAAGGAUAUAAACAGAGGGAGCCGGGGGAGGAAGGAGGGAAGAGACGAAGUGAGAGAAAGAGGAGGAAGGCCCAAAGGUGCGGCUGCUGUGCCCCCGCCUCACUGCGCGGGCGCGUUCUGGCGCUCCAGCGCCAUCUCGCCGUUCUACAGACCGCCCGAUGUGAUGCCCAGCGCUCCUCCCAGGAGCUGCGAGACGCCAACGAGAAGAUCACGUCGCAGCUCGCCCAGAGACUGAACGUCAGCAAGCAGUUAUCACAGGUACCACAGACCAGAAGAGGGGAGGACAGGCACAGAGAAAGUGGAACAAACAGAAGAGAAGGAGGGGUAGGGAAAGAUAAGCAGGGGGGUUGGUACAGUAACUGGGAACGAGGAAGUUGUUCUUUUUCUUUCCUCUUUUGUUUCUUCCUGUCUUUUCUUUUGUCUUUCGGUGUGUUUCUGGGGGCCCUAUCCCUGGCUGCAGUGGGAGCAGCUCCUUUGCCCUUAUCAUGCUUAAUAAGUGUGUGUCUGACAGGCCUGCCCUCGCCUGAGGAGGUCAGCACCACAGAGGAGCAGAGGAAGAGCCACAGAGCACUGAACACACUGCUGCAGUCUCCUGCAAUGCUAUACUAUACCCUACUGACUACUAUACUAUACCCUACUGACUACUAUACUAUAUCCUACUGACUACUAUACUAUACCUUAUUAACUACUAUACCCCACUGACUAUUAUAUUAUACGCUACUGACUACUAUACUAUAUCCUACUGACUACUAUACUAUACCUUAUUAACUACUAUACCCCACUGACUAUUANNNNNNNNNNGGGGAUUUGGUGAAUAAAAGGAUGGCACUGUGAUAGACUACAUCCAAUUUGUUGAGUAGAGUGUUGGAGGCUAUUUUGUAAAUGACAUCGCCGAAGUCGAGGAUCGGUAGGAUGGUCAGUUUUACGAGGGUAUGUUUGGCAGUAUGAGUGAAGGAUGUUUUGUUGCGAAAUAGAAAGCCGAUUCUAGAUUUUAUUUUGGAUUGGAGAUGUUUAAUGUGAGUCUGGAAGGAACGUUUACAGUCUAACCAGACACCUGGGUAUUUGUAGUUUUCCACAUAUUCUAAGUCAGAACCGUCCAGAGUAGUGAUGCUGGACGGGCAGGCAGGUGCAGGCAG